AAGGAAAUGAAAUAUACCUGUCUGAUGAGGAAAAAGAUCUCUGGAAGGCCGAUUAAUGAUUGCUAAUGUCAACAGGGAUAUAAACCUGCCCAGGUUCGAGGAAAGAGCAGAGAUGGGUUGGUAGAACAACCAGUUCGAACAGUACUUUCCAGCUGUCCAAGCCGGUGGUCCGUUAUGGAAUCAUUAAGAAACUGAAGCAAUCUGCUGAACUGAGAUAAAGGUUUUCCGACACCAUGGCUUUUCACUACAACGAAGCCUUUGAGAACGCGGAGUAUCCUUCCUCUGAGUCCCUGGAGGCAGAUGACCCAGGCUAUCACUAUGCGGAAACACUGGAGAUUGACCGAAUGAGAUCUGCUGAAAGAAGCACUUCUUUCCAUUACAACCCCUACGAUUCCUCUGCCUACAAUUCCUAUGGAGAGCACAACGAGGAAAGGACACGGAGGCAGAAUCCCUCCAUUCAUAUACCCAUGAACUCAAGGCGGAUUCCGGAUUCCAGUAGCGAGUACGGAUUAAGAGAUUCUUCAUUUGGAACGCCCAGUUCAAAUCCAUAUGGAAAUGCACAUGUCAAUCCUUCAUUUGACUACGAGGCGGAAUUUGCACAGACUUUACCUACGGACAGUCAUGCUCCGAAUCACCAUUAUACUCGGAAAACCUUCUGCUCCAUCCAACGGAGGUAAAACCUAAUGGCUUUGUUGAAUAACACUAUAUGACACAACUUCCAUCCAUUGUCCUUCCCUAACGCUUAAUGCAACCUACUGAUUGCGAUUCUCAAUCAGAUUUGACUUGAUUCUCCUCUUAUGUUUGUAAAGUGCUUAUACUUUAAAGUGUUUUAAUCGACAUGCCUAACAAGCAGGAAUCAUCAUUGUAUUUUUUUAAAAAAUGGAAACCAACCCAUUUGAAAUUUGGUUACAAUUUUUUUUUAAAAUGAUAAUUCCUGCUUAUUGAUUCUAGAAUUCUGCCACGGUUCAGUUAAGAAUCUCUUUUCUAGAAUUUUUGCAUAAGUACCGUAAGGAUAACUAUUUUUCGAAUGACUAGAACCAAGGGGAAGUGAUAAUAUUACACAUACAGUAGAGUCUCAUUUAUCCAACACUCGCUUAUCCAACGUUCUGGAUUAUCCAACCCAUUUUUGUAGUCAAUGUUUUCAAUAUAUCGUGAUAUUUUGGUGCUAAAUACGUAAAAAUACAGUAAUUACUACAUAGCAUUACUGCGUAUUGAACAAUUUUUUCUGCAAAUUUUUUUUGUAUAACAUGAUGUUUUGGUGCUUAAUUUGUAAAAUCAUAACCUAAUUUGAUGUUUAAUAGGCUUCUCCUUAAUCUCUCCUUUUUAUCCAACAUAUUCGCUUAUCCAACGUUCUGCCGGCCCGUUUAUGUUGGAUAAGUGAGACUCUACUGUAAUUCGUGAUCCAUUUUUCCGCUGCUGGCAUUGGUGACAGAGUACAAGGAAAGCGGUUUUUAUGUGAAAUACGAUUUUUGUUGUUCAUGGAAAGCUGAAAUGGAACCAUUUUUGGCCAAAGGAAUGGAAGGAGUCCCUUCUUUUCAGAUAACUUAUCGUAUUGAAAUAUAGAUCACAAUGAAUGGUGCAAUGGACAUUUAAGAUAUGGAGAAACCAAGUAGUGCUUCGGAGAGCAAACCCUUUGGCCCUUUGGAAUGGCUGCACAAGAAUCAUAGAAUCAUAGAAUCAUAGAAUCAUAGAAUAGUAGAGUUGGAAGAGACCUCAAGGGCCAUCUAGUCCAACCCCCCGCUAAGAAGCAGGAAAUCGCAUUCAAAGCACCCCCGACAGAUGGCCAUCCAGCCUCUGCUUAAAAGCCUCCAAAGAAGGAGCCUCCACCACGGCCCGGGGGAGAGAGUUCCACUGCCGAACAGCCCUCACAGUGAGGAAGUUCUUCCUGAUGUUCAGGGUGGAAUCUCCUUUCCUGUAGUUUGAAGCCAUUGUUCCGUGUCCUAAUCUGGAGGGCGCCGAAAAAUAAGCUAGCUCCCUCCUCCCUAUGACUUCCCCCUCAAAUAUUUGUACAUGGGCUAUAAUGAAUCCUCUCAGCUUUCUCUUUUGCAGGCUAAACAUGCCCAG
ensembl:lncRNA